rnacentral:lncRNA from 1 species
GAGCCUGACAAAUUACCUGUGAAAUUUGUGACUCAAGAGUCAAAAAUUUGUUUACGUGCCGGGAGAAAAACAUUAGAAGAGAUGCAAUUUUAGGGAAAUGAAAAGAAAAUGGCAUGCUGCUGUUUUAGUCUCCUUUGGCUUGAUUUAUGAGAACCAUCUGAAGAAAUUUGACAAUGGUGGUGUUUUGGAGAUGUGCCUUGGUUUCUAACUUGGCUGAUUGUGCUUUGAAGUUUCAAAAGGACACAGAGGAGGCCCUAGAAGAUGUCAACAGCACAAGUGGAGAAGCCAGAUCCCAAAUCACCAGGGAAGGCCAGCUGGCAAAACUUGUUUGGACUAUGAUUUUCAGUUUCCAGAAAUCUGAAGUCAAAGUGUCGACACAACUACGCUCCCUCCAGAGACUCCCAGGGGGAGAAUCUGUUCCCUCCUCUUCUAGCUUCUGGUGCCUGCCAGCAAUCCUUGACAUUUCUUGGUGUGUUAAGAAUAAACAAUAAAUGGAAUACUGAGAUUGUAAGAUAUCUUUUAACCUAUCAAAAUCUUCAAGAAACAGUCUCAAAGAUUUAGAAGAAACAGAGGAAACUCUGACAACAGCCCUUGAAGUAUCUUACAGAAAUAAUUUUCCAUAUAUGAAAAGUUUUAAAAUGAAAUGCUUAUGUUUGUGAUCUUAAAGUACGCUAGUAUAGAAAAUCUUUCUAAUUCCACUAAAAGUUUGAAAGCAAAAUGUUUUUAAAUUUCUUUCCAAACUAUAUUAGUGUAUUUAAUUGAAAUAAUUUCAAUUUUUUAGGGAACAAAUCAUAGUUGAGAAAAUAAAACCUAUUUCUCAUCAUUUUUAUAUUCUUUUAUAAAUGUUCCUCUAUGCAAGCGUGAUUAUUAUACAUGAAAAAGUUAA